rnacentral:tRNA from 1 species
GGCCAGUUAGCUCAGUCAGUUGAGCGUGGCGCUAACAACGUCAAGGUCACAGGUUCGUUUCCCGUUCGGUCCU